GACUCCAGGAAGCCCACCUCACUAGUCGUUCCAAUCACCAGCAAGUGUUUACCCUGGCAUCAAAACAGAAUUGAAAUUAAUAAAUCUUCUAUUAACUAGCAUAGAACUGGAUAUUGGUGGCAUCAGCAAGGACAAAAAUACACAGACUAAUACCAAAAUAGUUUGUAAAAUCAAUUGCCAAAAUUUCCACCACUAUGGCUACGUACCAUCCAAAUGGGUUGGAUCCUUUCCUGUAGGAGACCUCACAAAACUAAUACCUGUUUGGUUUCAAUAUAGUUUCCAGGGGACAAACCCAUUCCUUUGGAAGAGCAAGCCUUGCAACCUAUAGAACCAGUUGAAUUUAGUAGGCAACAGACUCAGCUGUCUAAAUUGACAACGAAUGAGAAACGGCAAAACCACAGGGUCUCUCCUGUUCCAGUGCUAGACACUAAUAUAGAAGAUCCGAGCAAGAUUGCCUCUACAAUGAUUGAUCUCAACUCGAGGCCAAACCAGAUUCAUGGGCAGCCUUCAAAUACACAGUGUAUUUUUGUGUUCAUAAGGUGCAGGGGAUGAAUGCUUUAAACGAUAGCAAUCAUGAGUGUGCAAGCGUAGUUCCAGUGGGAUCUUGCAAUCAAGAUCUAGAGAAAUAUGAAGAGUCUUUCCCUGUUUCAGUGGAAGUUCUUGAUUCCAGUUUCUGCCUUCCAAUAGGAAAAGCUAAGGGACUUGAAGCCUAACAGGCUAGUCUAUCCUAUUGCCAUAACAAAGUCAGCUUUUGCUUGGGUCUUGGUUAUGUUAAACAUCUUUCUUGGGCGUCAAAGAUUCUAUUGAUGGUAGCAUGUGUUCUAUGUGCACUGAUUGGUAUAUUUACAAUAAUUUUUGCAAUUCCAUGACAUGGUAUAUCAUGCUAAACUGAAUUAGAAUGCACUACUUAACUAUGUAUAAUCUUGCAUGUGUUCAUACCUGUGGGGUCCAUGUUUGAGUGGUCUAAGCUGAUGAUAUAAUGUGCCCCAUUGCGGAUGAACAUUGCACGGAAAUCUCCCAAGUGAGAAAACCUAACCAUUCUAAUUAAGAAUAUGCUGCAACAAUUUGUAUUCAAGCAAGAAAAUGCUAUAUAUUAUCUAUGUAUAAUCUUGCAGUCCAGGAGAUUUUUACUGCAUGAGCCAUCAAUGGAUGGACCCACCAUAUCAAUUGUUUGGAUCACUCGAGCUGUGGGUUCCACUUGUACAAAAUGGAAACCUACUCUAUGCUCUAGAAUGUCAGCCCUAGCAUUGCAUUAAUACCUCUUUAUUUAUCCGUGGUUUGUUGUUUCACAACUGAAUUUUGGUGGACUAUGAUUUUUCAUAGAGUUGAUGCCAUGAAAUGUUUCUUCAUGUUUCUUCAUCCCAAGUAAAAAAUUUGAAUUCUUAUGCUCUUGAAAUUUGAAUUAUGAUGGUUGAUCUUGAGUUGGUAUUUAAUAAUUAGGUUGUCCGAGACAUUCAUAUCUUGUGAUCAGAUGAAUGAAUAGGGAUUGAUUUCUACAGGCUUUGGUUGCACAUGCUGCAGUUCUUAUUGGUGUGCAGUUCUUGUAAGAAAAUAGAAUACAGCUUUGAAUGUAUUUCCAAUGUAGUGAAUUUUUGAAGUUGUAUCUCGUUGUAAACAGGGGCACUUCUGUGAUUUGAGGCUUCAUCGCAUCAUCAAUAAUGCCAGGUUUGCUAUUUUAAGUUACUAGAUUGUAAUAUCUUACUGAUUGGAUGUUUCUGAGUGUCCAAAAAUAGUUGGACAGCAAGUUUUAGAAAGGCCCAAUCAUUCAAUGGUUAGGAUCACAAUGUGAGGUAAUUUGAAGAUAAUUCUCAUGUUUGAAAUGUCCAUGCGAUAUUUCGCAUUUUACUCUAGUGUUACAAACUUGAGAUCUAAAACUUUCUGAAAGAAAGUUGAUAAUUGGAUACUAUCUGUUUUGGAGGCUAUGUAUUGCUGAUUUUGUUCAGGCCAUGACUGUCCAACAAGUUAAGGCACCUAUGGAUCUAAAGAAAGAGAUGGGAAGAUUAAUAUUUUAACAAAAGUAUGGGGAAGCAUUCACUCCCAUGAAUUGUUGGAUGUUUAUUUGGUUUUUAGAUGAUGCA